GAUAAGAGCAUGAAGUGGACUGUGAUAUUGUUGCACCUCAAGUAUCGAUAGGAAUUCUCACUGUGGUGCCAGAGGACAGUCUGAUGUCUCCACAAGGUUUGCCAUCGGAGGUCACUGAUGCAGCAAUAAUCUUGGAGGGUGUUAUAGCAAUGGAUGGAAUUGAGAAUGUUCCACGUGCCAUGUCUUGUUUUGGGGCUGAUCUAUGCUUUAAACAUGGUGUACCCUUCACAGCUUAAAAACACUUUUGAGUUCAUUCAAAGGGUUUUUCUUUCCCUGGGGCACAAAUCUCUCAAACCAAAACUGCAGUCACUAAAAAUCUUACUGUUUUAAUGUGUUUCUGAUGGCAGAAAAAAGACCAUGUUGCAGUAGGUCUGUUUGUUUUGUGUGUUCAGUCUGGAGCCAGUGUCCGUGUGGUGAACCAGUUGCUGACCAAGAUGGAUGGGUUGGAGACGUGUCGCCAGGUUUUCAUCAUGGCCGCCACCACCCGGCCCGUGGGGCAGACUUGUCAGCACUGGUGAGAGAGGCUUCAUUUAACGCGUUAAAUGCCCAUCUCUACUCUCAGACAGCUAUACCACAUGCAGCAGGGGGAGAUCAACUGCUGUCUCUGCUGAGAAACAGUGAAUCUCCAAGUGAGGAACAGCUUGCUGAUCUCUGCAUCAUCAUGGAUGACUUCAAGGAGUCUUUGGCACAAGUCCAACCAUUUGCCAAACGAGAAGGCUUUGCCACUGUGCCUGAUGUCACCUGGGAUGAUGUCGGUGCACUGCAAGACGUUCGGGAGGAACUCACCAAGGCCAUUUUGGUCGGAUUCGUACACCGUUUAGUAAUGUUCAGAAAUGAUAAUAACAAAGAUACUAGGGUUUAAAAAGAAUGCUGUAGAAGUUGAACUAUUAACUCAAGCUUUUUACUCAAGUAAAAGUGUAAAAGUACUGGUUUCAAAACUACUUUUAAAGUGUAAAAGUAAUGCAAGGAAAAAAUGCCAUUUAGGACAAAAGCUUAGGCUGUGCCACAGCCUAAGCUUCUGUGCACUAUUCUUUUGUGCACUAAGCUUUUAUACACUAUACUUUUCUAUUGUGCACUACCCCACCUCCGCAAAAAAACAUAUUUCUAAAGGCCAUAAUGACUAUAUUUUAUAUUAAUAUGAUAAUGUUGAAAAAUUUGGGAUGCACUAGUCUACCCGUUUCAGCCGCAUACUGUAUAUGCCCAUUGGAAAAGAAUGCAUUUUAGUACAAUGCAAAUACAUUAAAGAACCAUAUACAGUACGUGCACUACUGAGCUGUGUUUCAUGGAGUGGAAGAUAUGAUUAGUUGGCUAUAAAUAUUGUAAUGGUGCAAAAACACCACACAUUAGACUUAAACAACAACAGGGUAGGUCUGUUUGGUUUGUGUGUUCAAUCUGGAGCCAGUGUGCUUGUGGUAAACCAGUUGCUGACUGAGAUGGAUGAGUUGGAGACGCGUCACCAGGUUUUCAUCAUGGCCGCCACCACCCGGCUCGGUAAAAUGAGCCAGCUAAGCAUUUCAUGCAUGGUUAUGUAUUUUCUAACAUUUAUCUGGUGACUUUAUUUGAUCUGGGUCAGAUAUCAUUGAUCCAGCAUUUCUUUGACCGGGCCGUUUCAACAAAAAAUUGCAUGUGGGUUUGCCUUCACCAGAAGACAGUCAUGCCAUAUUGCUCACGCUGGUGACAAUCAAAACAUGAAAGGAUGUAACAGCCCCCACACCAGAUCCUGGAAUUUCGCCCACCCUUAAUCCCAUUAACAUAACAAUAGGACAAAUGGCGCAAAGAGACAGAUGAUACCCUGAGUUACAUUGCCCCUUUCCUUUGAUAUUUGAGAUACAGGAACCAAAGUCUAAUGUAAAGUUUGAAUUUAACUAGCAUUGUAACUUGAUUGGGCUUCUAUAUUAUCCACAGAAAUAUGCUAGAAAUAAAACAAUGACUAUUUUCCCACAUUGCCUCUUUGAGA